rnacentral:ncRNA from 1 species
AUGACUCGGGGUGCCGACGCAUGGCGUGGGCUGAGAUUUUACCCGUAUUACCUGAUCUGGAUCAUACCAGCGUAGGGAAGUC